rnacentral:rRNA from 1 species
GGCUUUCUUUCUGUCUUUGGUGCAUCUCGUACGAUGCUUUCGGGCAUAGUGGCGCACGGGUGCGUAACGCGUGGGAAUCUGCCCUUUGGUCUGGGAUAACUGUUGGAAACGACAGCUAAUACCGGAUGAUGACGUAAGUCCAAAGAUUUAUCGCCAGAGGAUGAGCCCGCGUCGGAUUAGCUAGUUGGUGGGGUAAAGGCCUACCAAGGCGACGAUCCGUAGCUGGUCUGAGAGGAUGAUCAGCCACACUGGGACUGAGACACGGCCCAGACUCCUACGGGAGGCAGCAGUGGGGAAUAUUGGACAAUGGGCGAAAGCCUGAUCCAGCAAUGCCGCGUGAGUGAUGAAGGCCUUAGGGUUGUAAAGCUCUUUUACCCGGGAUGAUAAUGACAGUACCGGGAGAAUAAGCUCCGGCUAACUCCGUGCCAGCAGCCGCGGUAAUACGGAGGGAGCUAGCGUUGUUCGGAAUUACUGGGCGUAAAGCGCACGUAGGCGGCUUUGUAAGUUAGAGGUGAAAGCCUGGAGCUCAACUCCAGAACUGCCUUUGAUACUGCAUGGCUUGAAUCCAGGAGAGGUGAGUGGAAUUCCGAGUGUAGAGGUGACAUUCGUAGAUAUUCGGAAGAACACCAGUGGCGAAGGAGGCUCACUGGACUGGGUAUUGACGCUUAGGUGCGAAAACGUGGGGAACAAACAGGAUUACAUACCCUGUAGUCCCCCCCGU